GUCUGCUUGUAAAAAUAAGCAGUCUAGCCUGCCCACUGAAUAAUUUAAAGGCCGCGGUAUCCUGACCGUGCGAAGGUAGCAUAAUAAUUAGUCUUUUAAUUGAAGACUGGAAUGAAAGGCUGGACAAGAAGCAACCUGUCUCAACUUUUCCCAUUGAACUUAACUUUUAAGUGAAAAGGCUUAAAUAAUUUAGGGGGACGAUAAGACCCUGUAAAACUUUAUAUUUAAAUCUCUAGGUUGUAAUUUUUUAGUAUAAAAUAAUCUAUUUAUUAUUGUAUUUCAUUGGGGCGAUGAAAGUAUAAACACUAACUGCUUUCCUUUGGCACAAAAAUCUUUGACUCUUUGAUCCCUUCUUAGGAUUUCAAGAAAAAGUUACUUAAGGGAUAACAGCGUAAUUUUUUUUAAGAGUUCAUAUCGACAAAAAAGUUUGCGACCUCGAUGUUGAAUUAAAAUUUCCUUAUAGUGCAGCAAUUAUAAAGGAAGGUCUGUUCGACCUUUAAAUUUUUACAUGAUUUGAGUUCAAACCGGUGUAAG
rnacentral:rRNA from 1 species